rnacentral:rRNA from 1 species
CCAGACUCCUACGGGAGGCAGCAGUGAGGAAUAUUGGUCAAUGGCCGUAAGGCUGAACCAGCCAAGUAGCGUGAGGGAAGACUGCCCUAUGGGUUGUAAACCUCUUUUAUGCGGGGAUAAAGGUGUCCACGUGUGGAUGUUUGCAGGUACCGCAUGAAUAAGGACCGGCUAAUUCCGUGCCAGCAGCCGCGGUAAUACGGAAGGUCCGGGCGUUAUCCGGAUUUAUUGGGUUUAAAGGGUGCGUAGGCGGCGCGGAAAGUCAGCGGUAAAGGCCCGGGGCCCACCCCCGGCGAGCCGUUGAAACUGUCGGACUAGAGACGGCGAGAAGUACGCGGAAUGCGCGGUGUAGCGGUGAAAUGCAUAGAUAUCGCGCAGAACUCCGAUUGCGAAGGCAGCGUACCGGCGCCGGACUGACGCUGAGGCACGAAAGCGUGGGUAUCGAACAGGAUUAGAUACCCCCGUACGG